AUUGAACGCUGGCGGCAGGCCUAACACAUGCAAGUCGAGCGGGGUUUUCGGACCUAGCGGCGAACGGGUGAGUAAUGCGUAGGAAGCUGCCCGAUAGAGGGGGAUACCAGUUGGAAACGACUGUUAAUACCGCAUAAUGUCUACGGACCAAAGUGUGGGACCUUCGGGCCACAUGCUAUCGGAUGCGCCUACGUGGGAUUAGCUAGUUGGUGAGGCAAUGGCUCACCAAGGCGACGAUCUCUAGCUAGUUUGAGAGGAUGAUCAGCCACACUGGAACUGAGACACGGUCCAGACUCCUACGGGAGGCAGCAGUGGGGAAUAUUGGACAAUGGGCGCAAGCCUGAUCCAGCCAUGCCGCGUGUGUGAAGAAGGCCUUCGGGUUGUAAAGCACUUUCAGCGAGGAGGAAGGGGUUGUAGUUAAUAGCUGCAACCUUUGACGUUACCUACAGAAGAAGCACCGGCUAACUCUGUGCCAGCCGCCGCGGUAAGAC
rnacentral:rRNA from 1 species